rnacentral:rRNA from 1 species
UACGUAGGUGGCAAGCGUUGUCCGGAAUUAUUGGGCGUAAAGCGCGCGCAGGCGGUCCUUUAAGUCUGAUGUGAAAGCCCACGGCUCAACCGUGGAGGGUCAUUGGAAACUGGGGGACUUGAGUGCAGAAGAGGAGAGUGGAAUUCCACGUGUAGCGGUGAAAUGCGUAGAGAUGUGGAGGAACACCAGUGGCGAAGGCGACGUCUCUGGUCUGUAACUGACGCUGAGGCGCGAAAGCGUGGGGAGCAAACAGG